GAUGAACGCUGGCGGCGUGCCUAAUACAUGCAAGUCGAGCGAAUGGAUUAAGAGCUUGCUCUUAUGAAGUUAGCGGCGGACGGGUGAGUAACACGUGGGUAACCUGCCCAUAAGACUGGGAUAACUCCGGGAAACCGGGGCUAAUACCGGAUAACAUUUUGAACCGCAUGGUUCGAAAUUGAAAGGCGGCUUCGGCUGUCACUUUUGGAUGGACCCGCGUCGCAUUAGCUAGUUGGUGAGGUAACGGCUCACCAAGGCAACGAUGCGUAGCCGACCUGAGAGGGUGAUCGGCCACACUGGGACUGAGACACGGCCCAGACUCCUACGGGAGGCAGCAGUAGGGAAUCUUCCGCAAUGGACGAAAGUCUGACGGAGCAACGCCGCGUGAGUGAUGAAGGCUUUCGGGUCGUGAAACUCUGUUGUUAGGGAAGAACAAGUGCUAGUUGAAUAAGCUGGCACCUUGACGGUACCUAACCAGAAAGCCACGGCUAACUACGUGCCAGCAGCCGCGGUAA
rnacentral:rRNA from 1 species